rnacentral:misc_RNA from 1 species
GACGAACCGUGCAAACGUUAUUCGGAAUCACUGGGCUUAAAGCGCGUGUAGGCGGGCGGACACGUCGGUCGCUGAAAGCCCCCGGCUCAACCGGGGAACGGGCACCGAUACGAUCCGCCUCGAGGGGGGUAGGGGGACCGGGAACUUCCGGUGGAGCGGUGAAAUGCGUUGAGAUCGGAAGGAACGCCCGUGGCGAAAGCGCGGUCCUGGACCCCUUCUGACGCUGAGACGCGAAAGCCAGGGGAGCAAACGGG